UGACCAAAACUCGAUUUUUCGAUACUUUGGCUCAAUUCUGAGGGCAGAUUCGGAUUCAGCGGGCAAAAUUACAUGGAAAAACAUAUAUUUGGACAUUUUUCGAAUUUCGUUAGGGUGGUCCCAUAUGAUUUUCCCUUGAAAAUUAGACUUUUUCAAAUGAAGAUAUCUCGAGUUUAAAGAAAAACACCUCUGAGAUUUUUUCAGCGUUUGUAGUGCUAGAUCUCCUCUUUCAAAUGCAACCUAGUGCUUAAAAUUUGGCUUGCGCCAUUUCGAGAUAUUUAAGUUUUAAAUUUGCAUCUUUUUUACCUUAAAAUGGCUGUAACUUUUGACCCUUAAGUCCAAAUUGGCAUGUCAACAAAUAAAAAUGUUCGUUUUUUAGAGCUCUAAAAGUGCUCAGAACAUCGCUUUUCUCUAAAACUUAACCCUGAAUUGCCACGUUCAAAAAACUGAUUUUUGAAGGUUUGCUAAGAUGCUUUCUAUAAAUUUGGUCAUAUAAGGCGUAGAUUACGAGAUAAAAUUUUGAUGUCUUCGACAAAGUUGCUUGAAAUGGCAAGCCCAACAACUUUCUAGAAGACAAAAAAAAUCCCAAAAAUAUUCCUGUAAAGUUAGAUUUCCAAAAUCACCCUAAUCGUGAACCACCCUAAUUUUCAACCAAACCAAAAGUUGCCCCUUUCUAUUUGCAACAACUCUUCUGAAGACACCAAAGCUCCAAAACUUAACCAUUUUUCGAAAAAUCCAUUUUCCACUUAAUUUUGCGAUCUGGACCACUGUGCAUUGGUAGGUGGAUGUUAUUGUUACGUAGUUUUUUGGUUUGGACGAUCCCUGCAGUUGUUCUAAGUGUGCACAACGACUUAAAAAUGUUUUAAAUUGGAUAUUUGGGUUAGGCUAAGUGUGAGAUUAAUUAGUGGAUGUUAUUGUUACGUAGUUUUUUUUAAUGGACGACCCCUGCAGUUGUGCUAAGUGUGCACAACGAAUUAAAAAUGUUUUAAAUUGGAUAUUUGGGUUAGGCUACGCCCAAAGGAAAAAUAUACCUCAAAAUCUGCAACAGUGGAUUUGCUGCAGAAAAUGUCACAUUUUAUAACAUUUUUUGCAGCAAGCCCCUAGAUCAUUUUUGCCCGCGUGUAAACAUUUCAGCGAUCUGCAGUUCUCACCAACACAUAUAAUGCUGGCCCGUUCCCGAGCAACACUCCAAAGAGAAGCAUAUAACGGAGAAAAGCGCGAGAACUGGGGCCUACAGCUCGAAGCUACCUCCCUGACGCAACCGAAAUUUAUCGUCCCUGGAGGGAUGAACGACCAGGUUAUCUCUUUGACAGGUAGAAGGUCGCUAUCUGGUCGUUGGACGCACACUAGGAUUGUGCAUGCACGCCGCGUCGGCAAACGAAGUGCUAGAGGGCGACCAAGAAUGCCUCGGUCGUGAGGUACGAGACGAACUUAAGUGGACGGCUUUAGUUGACAUGCACACAAACACCACGAAGUAGGCUUACACGAUCUGCUGCUUUCAAGUUCAUACCUUGACUACGCCGACGCUGAAUGCUGCCAUCUGCCGCCCACCCUUAGCAGACUCUAGUCCAGGAACGAGGCAAAGCUUGGAUGCGUUUCGUUCUCGGCAACUUGGACAGUGCAUCGUGCUGGAUCACCAUUACGAUCAGCUCUUGCGCCGAACGCAUCUCCGGGAUAAACAGGCCUAACGGUUUCUUAACACUGGAACGCCCAACGCAUGUCCAACUUACACGGACGCCCAAGCCUCCCAAAAAAGUUGGAACGGUAACUUCAACUCGCUGGUGCUCGGGCAUUACUCAACCAAUCGGGACGAUUCUUGUUUCCAGUGAUUUGUAAGAAUGUCUAGAUGAUUCUAGAACUUUGCAGAAAUUAAUUUGAUGAAAUCUGUAAUUUCUGCGACCGAAAACAUCGUUCCACCUUUUUUCAAAACGACUGCCACCGCGGAAUUUUUGGCGAAUUUUUUUUUACACGCGAAAAAAAAGUUGGAACGAUGUUUUUGAUCGCAAAAAUUACAGAUUUGAUCAAAUUAAGUUCUGCAAAGUUCUAGGAUCAUCUAGACAUUCUAAAAAAUCACUGGAAAAAAGAAUCAUCUUAAUUGGUUGAGUUAUGCCCGAGAACCAGCGAGUUGAAGUUACCGUUCCAACUUUUUUGGAGCCUUGGGCGUUGGAAUGUUAAGCUACGCCAAAACCACUUGGCAGUCCGACCACAGUACGACGUUCCGGAACGGCAGUUUCAACGCUGUGAGGACCUUGUCCACCAGCUUAGACUGUAAUUUCUACUCGAGGAGCUCGAGUUGGUCUUCAUGAUGACCGGUGAGCACAGCCCAGCACAUCGAAAAACUGGGCUGUCUCCAACAGCACACGCCGAAGCGUCGAAAACUACCCUCAGUUUGAUUGUGGAACUCGAGGGGUGAAGGAAGGCAUGGUGGGGCAUAAAGUAACGACCUUGAUCAGGUUUGAGCCGCUUCUCCAGCUACAGGAACCGCCGAAGAGCCAGGCUUCGGUUGUCGUCAAGAUCGGCGACGACGGUGCGGAAUGGCAAGCAACAUGCCGAUCCGGUCCGGUGUGUGGAAGUUCAGUUCGGCCAGCU